rnacentral:lncRNA from 1 species
GACAGGCUUUAAAAAUAUUUUAUUUACGGUUAGCUUGUACACGGGCGUGGGGGCACGCAUGUGCCACAGCUGCAUGCAGAAGUCAGAGGGCCGCUUUCUGGAAUAUGUUCUCUCCUUUCACCGUGGGUUUUGGGACUGGGACUCAGGUUGUCCAGGGUUGUUUGUUUUGUUUUGUUUUGUUUUGUUUUGCUUUGUUUUGUUUUGUUUUGUGUUUGCUGUUGUUUUGUUUUGGCAGCAAGCACUUUUGCCCACCCAGCCAGCCCAACCCUGGCUAUUUUAAGUUCUUGCUUAAUUACAACAAGAUAUUUUUCCCUAGUAUUAAAAAAAACUCAACUAUUUUUGUUUCCAUUGUUUACAGAUUACAGUUUGCUUUUAAAAGAAAAAUAAAGAAAUAAAGGUUUUCUGGGUUCAUGAAAAGUUUCCAAAAGCAAUAUCUCUUUCACUAAUGUCUACAGGAUUUAAAAGAGCCAGAGUGAAUCACAUUUCAUUAUCUAACUAUUACAUUAUAUAAUAUCUUUAAUCAGAGUGAAAGACAGUCAUAGUCUUGCCGGGUCUUAAUAUUUUCCCAUUUAUAACCAAAUCAGUGAAAAAAAUAAUAGCCGCUGUCUCGAUGGCAGCGGUAAAGGAACAUUAUAAAAGCAUCUCAUAUAAACUUUAUUCUCAACUAGAAAAAAUAGCAGAAAGUUUGUUAACAUUUAAAAUACCAGUACUAUAUUGCCUGCUCUAAAUAACUUAAGCCUGAAGGAGUUUCUUCAGUGUUUAUUCUCUUUUCCUUUUUUUUUCUUUUGUAUUUAAUUCUAAUAAAUGUCACAGCCGAAGAGUUCCAGGCGAAGUGCAAUACUUUGGUUCCAUGUUUUAGGAAUGAUUCGGAUAAAUCUGGAAAUAAUAGGUGGGUUGAAAAAGUUCUUCAUAUGCCCUUUGGUAUUGCUAUUCCCUUC